rnacentral:rRNA from 1 species
UACGUAGGGGGCAAGCGUUGUCCGGAAUCAUUGGGCGUAAAGCGCGUGUAGGCGGUUCGGUAAGUCUGCUGUGAAAGUCCAGGGCUCAACCCUGGGAUGCCGGUGGAUACUGUCGAACUAGAGUACGGAAGAGGCGAGUGGAAUUCCCGGUUUGGCGGUGAAAUGCGCAGAUAUCGGGAGGAACACCAAUUGCGAAGGCAGCUCGCUGGGACGUCACUGACGCUGAGACGCGAAAGCGUGGGGAGCAAACAGG